rnacentral:snRNA from 1 species
AUACUACCAGCAGCAUAUAUACUAAAAUUGGACCGAUACAGAGAUUAGUAUAGCCCCUGCACAAGAAUGACACACAAAUUUGUGAAGCAUUCCAUAUUUAA